AGAGUUUGAUCCUGGCUCAGAACGAACGCUGGCGGCGUGCUUAACACAUGCAAGUCGAGCGAGAAAGGGGUAGCAAUACCCCCGGUACAGUGGCGAACGGGUGAGUAACACGUGGGUAACCUGCCCUCGAGCUCGGAAUAACCCGCCGAAAGGCGGGCUAAUACCGGAUAAAGUUGCUGGUUCUUCGGGAUUAGUAACCAAAGAUGGCCAACGCUUGCAAGCUAUCACUUGAGGAGGGGCCCGCGGCCCAUUAGCUAGUUGGCGGGGUAAUGGCCCACCAAGGCAACGAUGGGUAGCCGGCCUGAGAGGGCGAUCGGCCACAUUGGAACUGAGACACGGUCCAGACUCCUACGGGAGGCAGCAGUGAGGAAUCUUGCGCAAUGGGCGAAAGCCUGACGCAGCAACGCCGCGUGGGUGAAGAAGUCGUAGUGGUCGUAAAGCCAUGUCAGGUGGGAAGAAUCGGGUGGGGGCUAAUACUGCCCGCCCCUGACUGACCACCCAGAGAAGCCCCCGA
rnacentral:rRNA from 1 species